UUCAACGACAAAGUCGAGGGGCUCUUGACGACGAUUAUUAUCAUUGACGCACAUCGUAAUCGACGAUAUCAAGUGGCCCUACGCGUGCUAUGGUUCAUGUGUAAAUCGCUUAUAACUGCCUGUCGUGUCAGAAAUAAAGGAUCUUCUUAGUUGUAGAAAGAGAGGAACGUCUGAUGACAAACGAGCUACUAAAACGAGGCUGCAAGUUGUAAGAUAUUAACCCCGUCAUCCCCAACAAUUGUGCCAUUGAUCGGAAACAGUAGGAUAAAAGAAAUCGUCAAUUCGUGGAUGCCGCGCGUAUUUUUCCGUGCGCUCGCUCUUCGAAUUCCAAAUGUCCCAGGAAUCAGCAGCCGCGGGGUACGGCUACUAAUAGCGGUGAAAAAAUAAAUAUCCAGACACUGGUCGAGGAGAUAAUUUGCGGCGGGAAAAGAGAAGAAAGAAAACGUGACGGUUGAUCGCGCGUGCGAAAUUUCUUUUCGCAUUCCUGUCGCGACAGAACAGAACUCCCUUGCUCAUAUUUCGCCAUUUUGGGGUGUUUACGCUCGCUUGACACACACCGGCCUGGCUCUCCCGAUCGAGAUGGCUUCGAGGGAGAUGUCGUCCCUGACUAUCGUCUAGUGCGGAAUACUAAGUGUUGACUAAAACCAAUGAUAGCUGACUAAUCGACAGUCAAGAGACAGCGAGCAGGAGUGAAAGCGUUCAAAUCGAUCGUUUAUUUCUUUGUAAAUACACAUAAUCCAGCUUGAGGAUAGCUAGUGAAAUCGACUAUUAACCACCGGAAUUUCACGGGAAGUCGCCUGCGACGGAACCACUGUAUGCAAUGCACCAUGAUGGCACAUCCUUCACGAUGUGACGAAAUUAGCGAGCAGCCGAAAUAAUUUAGCGGAUUCCAGGUUACCGUCUCGUAUUGCUUCGUACCGCCUGUGACCCUGAAUUUCAUUAUAUGUAUAGU